GACGAACGCUGGCGGCGUGCUUAACACAUGCAAGUCGAGCGGUAAGGCCCUUUCGGGGGUACACGAGCGGCGAACGGGUGAGUAACACGUGGGUGACCUGCCUUUAGCUCUGGGAUAAGCCUGGGAAACCGGGUCUAAUACCGGAUAUGACUCCGCGGCGCAUGUUGUGGGGUGGAAAGCCUUGUGCGGCUGGAGAUGGGCCCGCGGCCUAGUCCAGCUUGUUGGUGGGGUGAUGGCCUACCAAGGCGACGACGGGUAGCCGGCCUGAGAGGGCGACCGGCCACGACUGGGACUGAGACACGGCCCAGACUCCUACGGGAGGCAGCA
rnacentral:rRNA from 1 species